GCGCGAUGAAGGUUCAACCAUCUUUCGGCUGAUAGGUAUGAUGCUAAUUUACUAGAAAUUGCUGAGCGUUA
rnacentral:snoRNA from 1 species